rnacentral:ncRNA from 1 species
UGGUCCGAGAGGAUGAUCAGCCACACUGUGACUGAGACACGGCCCAGACUCCUACGGGAGGCAGCAUUGGGGAAUUUUCCGCAAUGGGCGAAAGCCUGACGGAGCAAUGCCGCGUGGAGGUGGAAGGCCUACGGGUCGUCAACUUCUUUUCUCGGAGAAGAAACAAUGACGGUAUCUGAGGAAUAAGCAUCGGCUAACUCUGUGCCAGCAGCCGCGGUAAGAC